ACUCCUACGAGAGGCAGCAGUGGGGAAUUUUGGACAAUGGGCGAAAGCCUGAUCCAGCAAUGCCGCGUGUGUGAAGAAGGCCUUCGGGUUGUAAAGCACUUUUGUCCGGAAAGAAAUCCUUGGCUCUAAUACAGUCGGGGGAUGACGGUACCGGAAGAAUAAGCACCGGCUAACUACGUGCCAGCAGCCGCGGUAAUACGUAGGGUGCGAGCGUUAAUCGGAAUUACUGGGCGUAAAGCGUGCGCAGGCGGUUUGCUAAGACCGAUGUGAAAUCCCCGGGCUCAACCUGGGAACUGCAUUGGUGACUGGCAGGCUAGAGUAUGGCAGAGGGGGGUAGAAUUCCACGUGUAGCAGUGAAAUGCGUAGAGAUGUGGAGGAAUACCGAUGGCGAAGGCAGCCCCCUGGGCCAAUACUGACGCUCAUGCACGAAAGCGUGGGGAGCAAACAGGAUUAGAUACCCGUGUAGUCCCAUGAU
rnacentral:rRNA from 1 species